CAGCAGCCACGGUAAUACGAAGGGGGCUAGCGUUGUUCGGAAUUACUGGGCGUAAAGCGCACGUAGGCGGAUACUUAAGUUAGGGGUGAAAUCCCAGGGCUCAACCCUGGAACUGCCUUUAAUACUGGGUAUCUUGUGUUCGAGAGAGGUAAGUGGAAUUCCGAGUGUAGAGGUGAAAUUCGUAGAUAUUCGGAGGAACACCAGUGGCGAAGGCGGCUUACUGGCUCGAUACUGACGCUGAGGUGCGAAAGCGUGGGGAGCAAACAGGAUUAGAUACCCCUGUAGUCCCUGUCUCUUAUAC
rnacentral:rRNA from 1 species